rnacentral:rRNA from 1 species
CAGUAGCCGCGGUAAUACGUAGGGUGCAAGCGUUGUCCGGAAUUAUUGGGCGUAAAGAGCUCGUAGGCGGUUUGUCGCGUCUGCUGUGAAAUCCCGAGGCUCAACCUCGGGCUUGCAGUGGGUACGGGCAGACUAGAGUGCGGUAGGGGAGAUUGGAAUUCCUGGUGUAGCGGUGGAAUGCGCAGAUAUCAGGAGGAACACCGAUGGCGAAGGCAGAUCUCUGGGCCGUAACUGACGCUGAGGAGCGAAAGCGUGGGGAGCGAACAGGAUUAGAUACCCCGGUAGUCCCUGUCUCUUAUAC